rnacentral:rRNA from 1 species
GAGUAACACGUAGGCAAUCUACCUUAGGACUGACACAACUCGUCGAAAGACGGGCUAAUAUCAGAUAAUGCAGCGGCUCCGCAUGGAGACAGUUGUUAAAGUACAAGCGCCUGAAGAUGAGCCUGCGGUCCAUUAGCUAGUUGGUAGAGUAACGGCCUACCAAGGCAACGAUGGAUAGCUGGUCUGAGAGGAUGAUCAGCCACACUGGAACUGAGACACGGUCCAGACUCCUACGGGAGGCAGCAGUAAGGAAUAUUGCUCAAUGGCCGAAAGGCUGAAGCAGCAACGCCGCGUGAAGGAUGAAUGGCCUUUGGCCUGUAAACUUCUGUAAAAGAGGAAAAAUAGUUAGGUAUAUCCUAAUGUGAUUGUACUCUUGAAGUAAGCCCCGGCUAACUACGUG